rnacentral:rRNA from 1 species
UACGGAGGGUGCAAGCGUUAUCCGGAUUCACUGGGUUUAAAGGGUGCGUAGGCGGGUUGGUAAGUCCGUGGUGAAAUCCCCAAGCUUAACUUGGGGACUGCCGUGGAUACUAUCGAUCUUGAAUACUGUGGAGGUAAGCGGAAUAUGUCAUGUAGCGGUGAGAUGCUUAGAUAUGACAUAGAACACCGAUAGCGAAGGCAGCUUGCUACACAGUUAUUGACACUGAGGCACGAAAGCGUGGGGAGCAAACAGG